rnacentral:lncRNA from 1 species
AGUUGCCAAAGAAACCAUUAGAUGUGGAUCUCUUUUUCUAUUGCCACUCUCUCUUCUGCUGCAUGUUGUUAACCUUUUGCCCCACUAUUUUGGCUAAAUUGACCAUCUCCCAAUAAGAGAUCAACUGCAUUAGUUGUACUCCAACUCGGAUAUCAGGCCUUAGCCCUUUCUCAAAUCUUCGAGCCUUGAUGUCAUCAAUAGCCACU